rnacentral:piRNA from 1 species
AGGGCCUGGCUCUGAACUGACUGGG